CCUCUACAAGUGUGACAUCAGCGGUCAUGGAGAGUCUCCAUCCAGCUGGAUCACUGUCACAGACAAACACACCACCACACCUCCACCUACAUGCACACCUCCACCUGGCUCCAUCGCUAGCCCUGGUUCCCCUCUCAUACCUGUGUUGUCAUGUGUUGGAUCCGUCUGUGUUGUGGUUCUACUGGUGUUACUGGUUCUCCUGAGGAGACGACAUGCCCACAGGAAACCUGAAGAUCAAGCUGGGAAAGAUGGGAUUACAUACAGUGACAUUAGAGUAACACAUCGCCAACGACAACAACCAAUAAGACAUAACAAAGAAGACGAUCCAGCUGUAAUCUACUCUGCAGUGAGAAAUGACAACAUCAGUUAUGAACAAAUCUUCAUUACAGACAAGCAAGAAAAAUCAAAGAUCAGAGAGUGCAAUUCAGCUACAAUCUACUCAGAAGUGAUAGCAGGUGACGUCUGCCAUGGACCGAAAACCACCAGAUCAAAGAGGCCCAAAGAGACAGACACCAUCUACUCUUUACUGAAGUAGUCCACCAGUCCAACCACUGACGUCCAGCUGCUGGUCUCUAACUGGUCCCCUCAGCACCUCAGACCAGAGGACAUCUAUAGAUUUUCACUGAGAUAACUCAAAAAUAACAUCCUAUUUUAGCUAGCUUUAAAUGUUUUUUAUGGCAAAUGAGAAUAUAAAUGUUAAUAUGAUUCAUAACUCUAUUAUUAUUUAAACUUUAUUCGUGUUUGUUGGUUCCUGCAGAGGGAAAUUAUUUUCUGCAUUAACACUCUUCUAGUGUGUUUUUAGUGUUUUUCUCACGUGGUCGUGGGCUUCAAAAAUAUGUGAAAUGGAAAAUGUGACUUGUUUGGUUGUGGCUAAUCGAUGCACACCUCCUGAAAUGCAGAGAAGACUGAACAACCGCAGGCUAAAAACUGCACAGUGGCUGAAAACUGCACAGAAAAACUUCACCACGUGUUUUGCACGUUUGAGGCUGAAGAAUUUAUUUAAUUUUAUUUUUUUAUUUCACUGAGAACCAAGCAGCUGCUUUUUACAUGGCAAAAAUAUUUAUGUUUCAUUAUGUUUGAAAAUUUACUAAAAAAAUAUGCUAAAAAUUUUCAGGCAGCAGCUUCUCAGCAGAGAGACGUUUUUAAGUCUGAUAUUUUAUGUCUGAUAAACUACAAGUAACUCAGACUAACUUCCUGCAGUAUCACAUUUCCUGUUUAACCUCUCACAGAAGCUUAAAAUGACCACAAGUCACUAUCAAAAUCUAUUUCCAUCUACUGGUUGAUCUGCUUCAUUAAUGACAUCAGUUAAAAGCCACAAGUGAGACAGGACUACUGCUUUAACUGUUUUCAAAGCGGAAGAUAAGACAGAGUUUGUGUUCAAACUGCAGCACAAAGCAAAGACUGAGCAGGUUUGGUUUGUUUAAGGCGGCUAACAGUCAGAGGCCUGAAAUAACAACAGGAAAUGAAAGAGACGAGCACCACAAACACCUGAAUAAGAAGACUUUUAACCAGUGACUUUGACUGAACGUCAAACAGACUGAGAGUUACAGUCGUUAAGAUGUGAGCUCACUGUUUGUUACAGGAGACAUUUCUCCGCACAAACAGCAGCAAACAUGAAACAGACAUGGAUCACAAAAAAUAAUAAAAUUGAAAGGUUUAAAAGUAGAAAUAAAGGCUGUCAAUAUUUAAAUUUUUAACAGGGAUGUUGAUGAGUGAAUGAAUUUAAAAUCAGAAAAAAAAAGAGGAAAUUUCACAUUUUCUAAAUUUAAUUAUUGCUAAUCAUCAAGUCUGGUUCUGCUGCUUCCUGUUAAAAACUAGUUCUUCUUUCCCAGAGUCACAAACUGAUGCUUACAAAGCAUUUUAUGAUUGGUGGCUUUUCCCUUAAUGUUUAUGGACUUUAAAAUUUAAGGCACCUGGAGUGUGAACUGGUGUAGAUAAAAAUAAUACAGUUGCAUCAUCAUUAAUUCUUCUUCUUUUAAAAACUGGAAAAUACAGGAAAAUAUUUCACAGAUGAUUUCUCAAUAGUCACAGAUGGUGUUAGCACACAGCUCACUUCCUCUUUGUCAUGUCCCUCACUGUGGGCUCACUUUUCAGGCUAAAUAAUAAAAGUUUCGAUGACCGGACUGUAUGUAGAACAUGUAGUGCAGAAUUACAAGAAGAGCAAAACAACACAAUUUAUUUUAACUCAUAUCUGACAUGAGUUGGAACAAGACAUGAACGACAUUUUAGACAUUUGCUCAACAUCUAUUUUAUAUUUUGAAUAUUUUGAAAACCAUUUAAUCACCAGCUGCAUUCAUGGAAAAGUGUGAUUUAAGCAAAAUAUAUGUUUUAAUAUUUUGUGUGCAUUAGUUUCAGUGUUACAGACAGAAAAUGUGCUGCAAUUGUGGAGUUGAACAGUUCUUUACAGCAUUCUUGUGUUUAACAGAUUUCAGGCUCAGCCUACCAAAAUAAAACAGCAGUAAACUUCCUUUUUCUGUUUGUGGAGGUUUAGAUGCACAUUUGCUCACCACCUCUCUUCACUCUUUGUCACGGUCAGUGACCCAGUGUUUUUGGUUUUUGCACUUUUACUUUUGAUUUUAUUAUAAAUUAUGAUAGUUUGUGUUUUGGUUUCACUGUGUUUAUUCUGUGGUCCCUCUGUUCUGUGUCAUCCCUGCCUGUGUAUCCCCUCUAGUGUAGUCAGGUCUCUGUGUAAAGCCUGCGUCUCUGAGUCUGCGUCUUCUGUAUUUUGAGCUUCCUGUUUUGUUGCGAUGUCCCGUCAUGUCUGAAUAGUCGCAGCUGUGCUCUCCCUCUGUGUGUUUAAGCCUUGUGUCUGCCUUUGUUAGUUGCUGGUUCGUCUGCGUUAUCUCCCUCUGUCAUCCUGUGUGGUUCCUCUGCAUCUGUCUACGUCUCCCUGCAUCUCCAUUUGUGUCUCAAGGUUUCAGGUUAGCUUUAUUCUUAGUUUUCUCAAUUUAGGUUUUGUCAGUUCUGUUCUCGCACCCUCGCCUUUUGUUGUAUGUCAUUCUUCUCAAUAAAGCUCACUGUCAUCAGAA